GUGAGGAAUAUUGGACAAUGGGCGCAAGCCUGAUCCAGCCAUGCCGCGUGCAGGAAGACGCAUCUAUGGUGUGUAAACUGCUUUUGUACGGGAAGAAACACUCCCUCGUGAGGGAGCUUGACGGUACCGUAAGAAUAAGGAUCGGCUAACUCCGUGCCAGCAGCCGCGGUAAUACGGAGGAUCCAAGCGUUAUCCGGAAUCAUGGGGUUUAAAGGGUCCGUAGGCGGUUUAAUAAGUCAGUGGUGAAAGCCCAUCGCUCAACGAUGGAACGGCAAUUGAUACUGUUAGACUUGAAUUACAAGGAAGUAACUAGAAUAUGUAGUGUAGCGGUGAAAUGCUUAGAUAUUACAUGGAAUACCAAUUGCGAAGGCAGGUUACUACUUGUGGAUUGACGCUGAUGGACGAAAGCGUGGGGAGCGAACAGGAUUAGAAACCCUAGUAGUCC
rnacentral:rRNA from 1 species